rnacentral:rRNA from 1 species
UUUAUGGAGAGUUUGAUCCUGGCUCAGGAUGAACGCUGGCGGCGUGCCUAAUACAUGCAAGUCGAGCGAACGGAUGAGAAGCUUGCUUCUCUGAUGUUAGCGGCGGACGGGUGAGUAACACGUGGAUAACCUACCUAUAAGACUGGGACAACUUCGGGAAACCGGAGCUAAUACCGGAUAAUAUUUUGAACCGCAUGGUUCAAAAGUGAAAGACGGUCUUGCUGUCACUUAUAGAUGGAUCCGCGCUGCAUUAGCUAGUUGGUAAGGUAACGGCUUACCAAGGCAACGAUGCAUAGCCGACCUGAGAGGGUGAUCGGCCACACUGGAACUGAGACACGGUCCAGACUCCUACGGGAGGCAGCAGUAGGGAAUCUUCCGCAAUGGGCGAAAGCCUGACGGAGCAACGCCGCGUGAG